CCACCUUUGUGAUUGUGGUGACCGCUGCUGAAAUUCUUGGCUCCAGGAACACAUUAGCUAAUUUGCUCUUCAGAGAUCAGGAAACUGUUGCUGCAACUAUUACUUUUAUUUAUUUAUUUAUUAUUUUUAGAUGGAGUCUUGCUCUGUUGCCCAGGGUGGAGUGCAAUGGCACGAUCUCAGCUCACUGCAACCUCUGCCUCCCGGGUUCAAGCGAUUCUCCUGCCUCAGCCUCCUGAGUAGCUGGGAUUACAGGCAUGCAUCACCACACCUGGCUAAUUUUUGUAUUUUUAGUAGAGACGGGGUUUCACCAUUUUGGCCAGGCUGAUCUUGAACUCCUGACCUCGUUCUUUGCCCACCUCAGCCUCCCAAAGUUCUGGGAUUACAGGCAUGAGCCACUGCAC
rnacentral:lncRNA from 1 species